rnacentral:sRNA from 1 species
UGUGAAAAAGAAGAAGAUA